CACACUGUUAAACUAUUUCUCCAAAAGAUACUAAAUGACUGAAACACUAAAGUAAAUGUGUAUUGUUUCAGCUAUCUGCUUCCAAACCAUAGGACUGUCUGCAUAUCCCUCUCUUCAGCCAACUACACUGCUUAUAGUUUAAUGCAUAAAGCAGCAAAAGCCACCGACUGACCACAAGCAGAUGCAAUCUUCAAUGAAAAUGCUUCUGUUUAGCACUGAAAAUCUUCUCCAAAAAUUAAAAUCUGCUCAAAUCACUACAGUAUUCCAGACAUUCCUGAGAGCACAAAGAAAAAAAACUUUCGUUAAAGAGUCACUUUUCCCCACAGAUUAACUACAUGUCUCAGAAAGGCUAC